rnacentral:lncRNA from 1 species
AAGCAAAUCUACAUUAAUAGGAUUAAAGGGAGGAAAAACUGGGUAAUCAAUCCAGUUUUAGAAGAAAACCAUGUAUAAGAGUAAUUUGCAUUAAGAAAUGUUUACAUUUAUGUCAAAAAGCAAAAAUGUUCACAUUUACUUUAAUAAAUGAUGUAGUGAUGCAAAUUAAUUAAAAAAUUCUUAUCCAUACAACGUCUUGAAAAAUUAGUAUUCAUCAUACCUUAAAGACGUCAUAGUAUCAUAUAAUCCUACUACAGCAUUUCGCUCUGUGGCUAAAGGCUUCUGGUUCCUUGAGUUUUUGAAUGCAGAAUGGGAAGCAGAGUCUUAUUUUCCCGUGGAACCAGCUCUGAUUUUGGAUUCUGGUGAUAGACACCCACUCUGCUUUUAAGAUUAGGCUUAACACUUCACUUUUUGAAAAUGCUUAUAGUUAGGGUUUGGUCAGGUGACCCUGAACCAUCUCUUACUUAUGCUGGAAUAUGUUUUUCUGCAAUGGGACUUUGUGUGAUGCACUGAGAAUUUCUUCUCCACUCUGAUCUUCCUGCUCCACAUGUGUUCAUACACCACCAUGUAUCGUUAGAUUUUAUCUUCUCUUUCCCUCACACCUGUCCGCUCCUGGCACAUGGCUGCCUGAGCCUGGACUGUGCAAGAUUUCCUUCUGUUUCUUCUUGUUAAAAGUAAGUUUGUCCGUCCUACUGUUGCCAUGUGCUGGCUCACAGCAAGACUGAUUGUUGGGGUUUUACUCUUAUAGUGUCUUUACUUUACAAUUUAAACCUACUUAAGGAGACUGAUGUCAUAUCUGAGACUAACUUAAUUUUCUUAAUUAGGUGCAGGACACCCUGGGCAGUUUCAGGGGCAUUUCCAGUCAGAGGGGCUAAAGGGCUGUUUGCUAUGAGGUGAUUGUCUCCUGUAGGGGGGUCAAGCAUGGUAAAGGUCAUGCAGGUGGGGAGUUGUCAGAUGGCUGUCCACCCCUCACUGGGCCAAGGGGCUCUCGUGCCGCCUGUCAAAGCCUGUGGCGAAGCAGGGAGAAGAAAGGGUGUCUGGAGACGACGUGUGCCAUGCUGUCUUGGCCCCGCCCCUGGCUGCCGUGCCAGCAGUUCUAGGAGACUGACUGUGUAUCGGUGUAUCACCCGCAUCCAUCUCUCUAACCUCCAGCCCUGCCUUCCCUCAUCCCCACGAGAGGGAGCAGCAGAUCAAGAAAAGGGGAAAGAUUCGUGGAAGGAGGGAGGAAGCGAAAGAGAAGUGUUUCUGUGUCCCAAAGGAUUGGUCUCUGUCUGUCUAAAUCAGGAAGUGAGAAUGUGA